rnacentral:rRNA from 1 species
GACGAACGCUGGCGGCGUGCUUAACACAUGCAAGUCGAACGGAAAGGCCCUGCUUUUGUGGGGUGCUCGAGGGGAGACCGGGUGAGUAACACGUAAGUACCCUACACUUGACUGUGGGAUGACUUAAGGCCAGUGGGGCUCAUCCCGGCUAGGAGCUCCUGCUGCAUGGUGGGGGUUGGAAGGUUUCGGCGGUUGGGGAUGGACUCGCGGCUUAUCAGCUUGAUGGGGGGGUAGUGGCUUAGCAAGGCUUUGACGGGUAGCCGGCCUGCGCGGGUGACCGGCCACAUUGGGACUGAGCUACGGCCCGGCCUCCAACGGUAGGCAGCGGUGGAGAAUGUUGCACAAGGGGCGGAAGCCAGAUGCAGCACCGCCGUGUGCGGUAUGACGUCCUGCGGUUUGUAAACCGCUGUCGCCUGUGACGAAGCGUGAGUGACGGUAAUGGGUAAAUAAGCACCGGCUAACUACGUG